GACGAACGCUGGCGGCGUGCCUAACACAUGCAAGUCGAGCGAUGAAACCCUUCGGGGUGGAUUAGCGGCGGACGGGUGAGUAACACGUGGGUAACCUGCCUCAAAGAGGGGGAUAGCCUCCCGAAAGGGAGAUUAAUACCGCAUAAUAUUAUUUCUUCGCAUGAAGAGAUAAUCAAAGGAGCAAUCCGCUUUGAGAUGGACCCGCGGCGCAUUAGCUAGUUGGUGAGGUAAUGGCUCACCAAGGCGACGAUGCGUAGCCGACCUGAGAGGGUGAUCGGCCACAUUGGAACUGAGAUACGGUCCAGACUCCUACGGGAGGCAGCAGUGGGGAAUAUUGCGCAAUGGGGGAAACCCUGACGCAGCAACGCCGCGUGGGUGAAGAAGGCCUUCGGGUUGUAAAGCUCUGUCUUCUGGGACGAUAAUGACGGUACCAGAGGAGGAAGCCACGGCUAACUACGUGCCAGCCGCCGCAGUAACAC
rnacentral:rRNA from 1 species